rnacentral:lncRNA from 1 species
UAACACCAAAACUCUAGGUCCGAAAGUCGGAAAACCCUAGAAUUUGAAGAACUCGUCGGAACAAAAUCAGAGAUGUCGGAAAAUCACCCAAAACAUCUACUGAUACAGGAUCGGAGCCUCAAAAAGUCAGAAAAGUCCCGAUUAACCGAUUAACAUUCAUCGAAAAAAUAUACGAACAGUAUUUUUCUCAGAUAACCGAAGAAAAACUUCAGCGAAAGCUUCAUCAAGUAUCGAUAACACGUAACAAAGAAGGAUCGGAAGAUUUUCCCGCUCUGAUACCAUGAAAACAUGGAGAUUUGAAGAUGAAAACUAGAGAAGAUGAAGUUGAACAGUGAGAAGUAGAGAGAGAGAUGAGAAGCUUCUGGAGGAAACCC